rnacentral:rRNA from 1 species
AGGACUGAAUGCCCUAUGGGUUGUAAACUGCUUUUAUAUAACGAAGAAACCCUACGGGACGGUGUCCGAGGCUGACGGUAGUAUAUGAAUAAGGACCGGCUAACUCCGUGCCAGCAGCCGCGGUAAUACGGAGGGUCCAAGCGUUAUCCGGAUUUAUUGGGUUUAAAGGGUUCGUAGGCGGGGUAUUAAUUCAUGUCAGUGGUGAAAGCCCACAGGCUCAACUCUGUGGAACUGCCAUUGAUACUGGUACUCUUGAGUAUAGUAGAAGUUAGCGGAAUGUGUCAUGUAGCGGUGAAAUGCUUAGAUAUGACCCAGAACACCGA